rnacentral:misc_RNA from 1 species
AUUUGGAUAGAGAAUUGUCAUAUGAAAAAAGAGAACGAAGGUCAGGAAGAGAUGUAAUUGAGCAUAGGUCUCCUAGGCCAAGAAAUGAUUACUCUUUUUCGGGUUCAGGUCAUCAAAGAAUGGCACAUCAGAGACCCAGUUCAAAUUUUAGUGUUGACACAGAAAGAAAAAAUGAGGCGUUCGACCCAACUGAUUCUGAAAACCGGAAGGAUAGAGAUGUUAGCAUGGAUAAAACGAAGGCAGAUGAACAGGACCUGGAAGCUAAA